rnacentral:tRNA from 1 species
CAGAAAAAAGCAUUUUAAUGUAUCUCAUUUACGUUGAGUGGAAGGUUCAAAUUAACCUUUUUUGA